rnacentral:lncRNA from 1 species
AAAUUCAAGAUCCUGACACAGGGAAGACAUGUCUUCUAAAGUCCAUGUGGAAUUUAAAGAAUGGGGUAAAUGAUACCAUCCCGGUCUUGCUGGAAGCUGCUGAAAAGACAAAUAAUCUGAAAGAUUUGGUCAACGCACCAUACACCAAUGCUUACUAUCACGGUAAGGGAAUAAAAUCUUCUCCAGGUGCUGAGCUAACAAUAUCUAGCUUGUGAUAGAAUUACUUAGGAGGUUUAUAUAGUAUGUUCGUUCAGACUCUUUUUUUAGUAAUAGAACAGACGCUUUUAUUUACACAUAUGGUUCCCUAAUCAAGAAAGAAUACUAAGACCUCACAUAUCCCAUAAAUGGGGAUUAUACCACUGUACGUUAUCAACACUAGAGCUAAGUCCAUAGCUCUUGAAAACGUGAGUAGGACCAUAUACUCUUUUAUUGCUUCUACCCCUUUCGGGACAUACUAUACCAUCAGUUGUUAUUUUCUCAUUUCAUAUGAUGUACAAAGACGCAUCUACACCACUCUGAAGAAUCCCCCACUACAAAAGACUGUAUUCACCUCUACAAAGAUAUACCUCGUUGUUUGAUUCAUCUACCAGUCAGACUAUUUAUUCUGGACUUCUAUUUGCUUAUUAUUUAUUUUAUAUAUUACAUUCUAGUCUGCCUAUUCUGUGCUCUUUUAAUUUAUGUGGUUUGUAGUGGCGCUGCCUUCCUUUCUUUUUUCUGUAUCUUUUUUUAGUAAUACCUCUUAAUUCUUAAGAUACAUUAACUAUGAAAUAAUCUCAAAUGCACAAAAAUACCACAGUGGAAAAAUAUCUUCUGGUUACCAACUCACCACAACGUAUUAUUUAGUGCCAGGAAACUGAACAGUGCAUAGCAAUGAGUUGAACACAUAUAAUUUGGAAGAACAGUGUUUUUGAUGAGGCAAUUUGUUUUCCAAAGUACUGGCAAACCAAUGCUGGAAGACCAGGGCCUUAUUGACAUGAGAUCAGUGGUGUAUCCUCGUUUUGUGCUGCCCUAGGCAUAUUCCGGCUCCCGGCAUCACUCUGCGGCCCGCGAGGGAGCUGAGCAGAGAGCUCACUAAUCAAUGCUCCUUGCCAGCGCCGCCCGACUGGAUUUUUACUUAGCCGCCUGCCUGCCUGGACUGUUAGCCGCCAGGCUAACAAGACAUUUGCCUGGGCAUUUGGGGGUGGUGUUUUUUGCCGCCCACUGGAAAGUGCUGCCCAAGGCAAAUGCCUUGUUUGCCUCGUGGCUAAUACGUCCCUGAUCACAGGUACCCCUAAGUAGAAAGAAUACAGGUUUGCUUGCCCCCCACAAAGUAACAAACUAAGAUGUUAAAAUAUUUUGUGAGCAGUGUGAGGAAGAAAAGUGUGAUAUGAGACAGGGUCCAAAGUGGAAGAAGUUCAAGAGAUAUUUGUAGAACGUAUCAGAAUUGAAAGAGAGUUUACGGGAUAGUGGGCACAGCUUAUGCUAAAUCCCAAACCCUGCCCUUUGUCUCUAGUGGUGCUCUCUUCUUAUGGUACAUUUUAGAACUGUGGAAGACAGUGAAUUGUGAUCCCUUCAUGACAAGAUGUUGAGCAAAUCCCAUUAUAUAAGAGCAUGAAGGGGUUACAAUAUUCUGUGUAUAUCUAAUAUCCUACUAUCAGUGGCCUAUGAGCAGUUCAAGCUGUCUAUUAGUAUUGAAUAAUGCAUGUGCGUGACAUAUCUAUGAUGAAGUGAUAGCCAGGUAUGAGGGAAUUAUUUAGACAGAUAAGUGGGAAGGGAAGUAAAUUUUUGGAAAACCUUAAGGAAUAGUAAAUUUCUGGAGGAGAGAAAUGGACAUGAAAGCUUAUUGAUAGAAUGAUAAAAAGAAGAAAAAAUAUGGUCAGUGGUUUAGGUGGUACGUACUAGGAUAAUGAGUUAAAAAUAAUCGCAAAUGCAGUUUCAAAGUAUAUAUUAAAUAAGAGCUAUUGUUUAUUAUUUACCUAUAGUGUAUGAUAAAAUGAAUAGCAACCACAAUUAUUUUUGUCACUGACUUCAUCUUUUUGGCAAAAAAAAUCCCCUGACGUUGAUGUGGGAAAAAAAUAACACAAUGAUCUAAACUUAGUGUAUGAAUAAAACAUAACUUGUGUUUUUCACUCCUGUCUCAACCUCGCUAUUCACACAUUUUCAUUUUGAGCAAGUAGUACAUUUACAGAUUGGGAAUGCAUGUUAAUCAAAGCAAAUGCUGACUUUUACCAUGAGUUUCACAUACCUUAGCAUUUAACUCAUACUGAAUUCACUGUUGGUAAUUACAGCAAAGACAUGUUCUAUUUGUAAAUGCAAAUGAUGUUCCCUUGCAAAGCAUAUGCAAUUCACAGUGAAUUGAGUGAAGGAAUAUUAACCCCUUGUAUCUUUUCUCCAGAAAGUUACAGAAGAUACAAAAGAAAAGAAAACAGUGUGUACUAUGUAGUAUGAUUGCCCAUGUAACAGAUAUACUCCAAAAUGUCAUAAACCCCCAAACAACUAUCCCGAACCUUAAUACACACCGUUCGCCCCAGAUUGCCAAAUCCCCCCAUCCUAAUGUCACUUUGCCCCAUAUGUGCUGUAUUGUUUUGCAUAUAUUGCUGUAUAUGUAGUUACAAUGCCCCAUGUAUUGCCCAUAGAUAUUGUCUUAUCUGUACUCCCAUUGUUUCCAGUUUAGUUUGUGUCACAUAUAAUUAUGUCCCACAUUUGGUCACAUUACCAUGACAUUGUACAUGCAAUACUUAAGAUUUCUUACACGUGACAAUUUGGUCACACUCACUAACUUACUAUCACACCACAGACACACUCCCACACCUCUUCCAAAUGUAUGAAGCUGAGCACCGAGGCUAUAUCAAAGCACUAGUCUGUCUUUUCGCAUUGCAUUGUACUGGAGAUACUACUUACACAAGCAGUGUCCCAAGCAGGAUUAUCAGCAUCUCUUUGAACACAAAGCACAGGCAGAUCAUCUCUUUAACCCCUUCAGAACACAACUUCUGGAAUAAAAGGGAUUCAUGACGGAAUAUUUCCGUCAUGUGUCCUUGAGUGGUUAAACACAGACAGAUCUUCUCUCUGCAUUACAUACUCUUACUUACCGUAAAGUGCUGUACACUGGACUUGGAAUGAUGUUUGCAGCACUGUGCUCAUGGUGUCACUGUGUUGCAAGCUGCCUAGACAUAGUAAGGGCAUAUUACACAAACAACAUUUGUUUUCAGAGAUCAAAGUUAAUUUGUCAAUUUUCCUUUUAUACGUUUUCACGAUUCUGGGCUGUAGAAGCAUACCCUUUAAUGGGUAGAUAUAUGUAUGAAUUUAUAAAAAUUUUUGUUAAGGUGCUGCAAAAUAUCUUAUUUCAAGAAAAAGUCUGUGUUUAUUUAAUGAAAACUAUGAUCAAGUUUCCUUUCCUUGCUGUUAUUGUAGUUCCAAACUGUGUUAAACAGUUAACUAUAGAUUGUAUGAAAAGUGUUUGGAUCUGACAGGCAUCAACAAAAUCUUAAAUUUGUCUUCCAUAUAACAGUUAAAGAUGGAACCACUGUUGUUAAGCAUGUUGCCUGUAUAAAAUAAGCAUAUUUUUGUAAAAAUUGGAGUGAACACACACAAUGGUAGUGUCAUGACAUAUACCCACCUCUUAUUUAGUAUAGCGGUUUUCAAUUUUUAUUUUGGGCUAGAGCCCCAGGUGUUUCUGGAAUUUAGAAGUUUUGAUUGGGAUGUAUUGACUAAAAAGUGAAUUUCAUAGAAUUAUUAACCCAAAUUAAGGGGGCGGGGCCAGACCGCCAAGCUGGAUGGUCACAUGGAAGCUCAGCUCCUGCAAAUUACCGACUAAUAAGCCUUAAAACAAUGAUUUGCAACCUUAAUACCAACCACCAGCGCCGGUCCUCAGUGCAUAAGGGACACUGUAUCCAGGGUGAGGCUGGCUCCUCGAGCUACAGUCCCCAGGAGGAGAGAUCCUCGAUGCCCCAAUUGGGGCCUACUCCGGCGGUGAGUGGGGCGGACGGCCGCUGCUCCACUAUCCUGCCUAACAUAGCCCAGCCAGAGGCCAGAAGCCUUGCAGACCUGGCCCUGUUCCCCUCACUCUGGACCGGUGGAUGUGAUCCCAGUCCGAAACCUGUGACCCAGGCCGAGACGGCGCAACCUAAGCACAGCAACAUCGCCACUCAGACACGCGGCCCGAGCGCCUCAACUGCGGCUGCCAGAAGUGCCGAUGCCAGAGGGAUGACAUGCUUUCUCCCCAAGCCCACAGUGAGCAAUAAGGCCUCCAGAAACAGGCUGGCUCAACACCUACCAUGGCAAGCUACAGGCACACACCAUAACACCCAAGAAAGGCGCCUACACCAGGAGAGGCUAUGCUGGACCAUAGCUCCAGAACAGGGGCAAGCCCGAGGCAAACAAACGGAUCGGAGACACAGCAGGCCAAAUAGCGCAAAACGGCACAGGAUACCGAAACUCGACAAGCACCAACUUACCCUCUAGAUAUGUCGGGGAGCAGGUCUUCCAAGCAAGGUGCCACAUUCCACUACAGGACUGCCGUACAACAACUCACAGCCAUCCCUGACAAGACCGCGACGCAAACUGACUGCCGGCCUACACCUGGACCGCAAUAUACUCACAGAGGGCAUCGACAACGCAGAGACUCGAGAGGUCUAUACACAACAAUAUUAAUCUGUCCUCUUACCGGCAUUGCGUCUCAAAGCAACAGUCUCUCCACCAAAGCUGUUAUGCAGAAUGGGCUGACAGCCUCCACAGGGCUCCACAUAGAUGGACACGCUAAAGCUCCACCAUUCCCUGUCUGAUCCGGCACCUCUACCUAUACCGAAGCAACCAACGGAACAUGACCAUAACUAUGCAUAACAGUGGCAAAGCAUAAAAAUAUUGUCUAGCAUAUGCGUGACUGCCAACAUAUAAGAGGUGUUUAGCAUUUAAACCAGUUUAACAGGCUAACUGUCAGGAAUAUGGGGAUCUGCAUUUAAUAAUCUACUAAUGAUAUAUUUUCACCCUGGGCAGUAAAGUGCUUGGCUAGUUUGUCUGGGUCCGGGGCUACACUUUUCACUAAAUGUUUAACUACUGAAAUACUACACAUAACAAAACACAAUAUUGAGGCAUAGGCUCUUUCCUAUACUUAAUUAGUUAAUUACUGUUUGCUAGCCUAGUACAACUAACGUUGUCAGAAUCUCAAUUUAUAAAAUGUGCACGUAUUAUUCAUUACCCUAUUGUAACACAUGAUAUAAACCCGGAGGAAUGCCGUUGGGGUACCUCAGGCAUGUCUGUACUAACCUUUGCACGUCAAAAAAAAAAAAAAAAAAGUUUGUUAUUUUGGGCUAGAUCAUGCAUUCUUUAUGUGAAUUUAUCACAAUUCACUGUUAAGUGAAUUAUUCCCUUCCUAUGCCAUGGCCCUAACUUCAUGUCUUGUCAGUCCCUCUCAAACAAAUUGCACUCUUGUUAGCUAUGUGAAAUUUUAAGGUAUACUUUAGUUACAAUACUAUCUUGAUUUCGAUAAACAUUAUGUCAUUGAUACAAUAAAGAUGUCUCUAUCAGAGUCUUUAGAGCUCCCUGAGUGCUGUGUUAUGAACAAGCCCGGAUGUUCCAUGGGAAAUAGAACUAGUUACUAGCAGUAAUUAAGGGGGCCAUUAGACAAGUCUGCUGAAACAUCAGAGGCAAAAAGGCAAGGGAUGGAGUUUGUUGAAUCCAGUAUUCCGUUUGCCUAAGAUUAUGAAUGCAUUCAGCCUAAUGUCUAAUAGAUUUUUUUUCUAAUAUGUCUCUAAGCUGUGCCUAGGGAGAUAUCCUGGGAAAAGCCAACGCUGUCAUUAAAGUAAAUAUUAAUUAUUUAGAAAAGCAAGUGGGCAAAUAAUGUUAUUGUUUUUGGGUGAUACAGACUUGGCUUUUGGUGCAUUGUCUGAUGGAUGAGUAUAUAAACAGCAUCUGCUGUUCACAAAAGAAAAACACAAUUUUAAAGCAGAACAAUGUCAGAAUUGCUUAGAGGACUAUUCCCUAAACAGUGAAUUAAAGUGAUAUAUUGUAUAAGUAAAAAAAAAAAAAAAAAAUGAAAGAAAAUUCUCCUACUCAACUAUUUCCUAGAUUUUUUGGAACAUGAAGUCAUUACCCAAAUUUUCUUUUUUUUAGUUGCUGCCAUCUUCAAGUUUUUCUAAUAUUUAUAUUUAUGUGGUUUACUGCAGGACAGAGCGCUCUUCAUAUAGCCAUAGAAAAAAGAAAUUUCCAGUUAGUUGAACUUCUACUGAAAAACCAAGCUGAUGUUCAUGCCAAAGCAGAUGGAGAGUUUUUCCAGAAGAAAAAGAAGGGUGUUAGCUUUUAUUUUGGUGAGUAUCUUAAUGAAAAGAAAUAUUUUGCCAUACUUGAAACUGAACCUAUUAAUGCGGGGGAGGGAAGUGCUUAUGGUGCUGACAUGAUAAUUGUUAUCCUUGUUUUUUUUUAACAUAUAUGUGACUGAAAAAUUCACUUAAUCUUGUAUAAUGUGACAUUAUUCAUGUCACAUGGCACCCAUUCUACCACUGUAUUAAAGGGACACUGUAGGCACUAUAAUCAUGUCCUCUCUUUGAAUUGAUUAUAGUGCCUGGCGUCGCCUGGUACUGUCUCUCCAUUCAGAGUUAAACCAUGUUCUAGCAGUUUAACACUAACUAAGGGUCCCUGGCACCCACAGUCUGGCCCCUUCUGGAGGUGUGGCUCAGGCAGAGAUUACACAUUCCUUGUAGUUAUAUCCAUUCAUACUGUUAAUGGGAGGUUUGAUAGGAUAAAAGCAGUCAGCUGACUGACACUCUCAGCCUAUCACAGCUGCCAACUGCUGCUCAGGCUAAUACCUCUUUAUUUGCCUAAGCAGCACAGAAGGGAUGGGAUUCAGGGGACUCUCGUUUAGUAUUAGAACAUAAAAACAUUAAAAACUGUUUAAUGCUGAAUGAAAUGAUGGCAACAGGGGACUCCAGACACUAUAACCAGAUUAAUUAUAUUAAGCAGAUACAGUGCCUAUAGUGUCCUUUUAUUAACUUGCUGGUUUCAGCUAUUUCCCUCUAGUGGCGCAAAACUAGUGCAGAUGUAAGUUAUUAUUAUUGAUGUUAUAGCUACUUUCAAAUUCUUUUUGAAAAAAAAGGGUAACAUUCAAUUGAAACACAAAUAGCUGGCAUGUAAACUUAGAAGAACAUUAUAAUUUUGUAUAUAGAACAAUACUUAUACAAGGAAUACCUAUAUGUUUAAAUUAUGUACGUAUAGACAAAUUAAAUUUUUGAAUAUGAUUGGUUAAAUGAUAUGCGUUAGCAUGCAAUGCAUAAGAAAAUGGAGAUGUAAGCAUAUAUGGACAAAUAAAUUUUGUCAAAUACAGGAGGUGUGACAGCAAUAAUAUGUAUAAAUGAAAAGGGUUUCAGAAAAUCCUUACAGUAUGAUGACAUAGGCCGUGAUAUGGUCAUUAAAGAUUUAAACUAGAACCCAGUAUGCAGAGAAUAAAAAAACAACGCAAUGGGGUAAAAUUAAACAAAUGUAUUAAGAUUUCUAGAACAAUGUUAAUAACACAAACGAUUAGCAAAUUAUCAGAAGAAUAUAAUGAUGCAGACAAACCACAGGAUACAAGGGAGAAAAGCUCUGAAAUCAGGUAGAAGGCCUUCAUAAGACAGGAUACAGGGCAGGCCGCUGGAGUCAGGUGUCAGGCUUUCACUAGACAGGAUACAGGGCAGGCCAGUGGAGUCAGAUAAUAGUCCUUCACGAGAAAGGAUAAAAGGCAGAUCUCUGGAGUCAGGUAGCAGGCCUUCAUGAGAUAGGAUACAUGGCAGGCCACUUGCAAAAUAUAUUGCAAAGUAUUUCAACCUCUAAGUGUGCAGUUACAGUAACCUCAUUGUUGUAAACUUGCUUAAUCCUUACUUUUGACUCUCACGAAAAAUCUAAACACUGAUAUCACUAAUGGUAACUGCAGCAUGGAAAACGUCUGUGUUUCUUUCUAAAGGAGAAGUAAAGCAGAUGGGGUGCAUGUCAAUGUCUAUUUUUAAUGGCUGUAAUCAAGCAUUCGAAAAGAGUUCCAUAUCUGAUGCUUUUCACAGUGAUACACACAUGCAUAUCUCACCGAUCUAUACCUUUAUUGCAGCCCAAUGACAUGUAUUGCUGUGGGUUUUAUUUCUGUAGUCCAUGAUAAUAACCUCAAACACAUAAUGCAAAUGAAAUGCAAACCUGAAUUACUUGGUUUCUCUUUCGUGCUGUGAUGACAUUUCUCAAACAUUUUUCUAAAAUCUAUAAUACUCUGAGAUUUUUCUUAGGCCAUAGUAUAUGCCAAAACGUAUUGGAAACAUUCUCCAAGUUAACUAUGUUUUCUGUUUGGUGACUUUGUGUCUUAUAACUUCCAAUUCAUCAGUUAAAAAAAUGUUUUAUAAGACAUAUUCACAAGUCUGCCAAGGCACUCUGGAAGUAACCAGCAACUCCUACCAUUCACCAAUAGCUUUUAAAAGUAGAACAAAUAUCCUACUUUCCUGCUUCGCAGAAAUGUGUUUCGGGGAAUCAACCUUGGCGAGUGACAGUUAUAUAUCCACGGUGCCUUAUCAUGUUCAGCCACAAACUUACUGGCAUGGCCCAGGCUCUGCCAUAAGGCUCGGCUCUCUACGCCCUCACAAUGGUAUAAUCUUACUUUGCUACUUCUUAAUUUUGUCAACAAAUGCAUUUACUUGCUAUAUUUAUGUUUCUACCUUAAUUUCGAGCUGUCCUCGACUGCACUUAUGUUGUUAAUUAUUGAACCCUAAGUACUACUCUGAACGAACGCCCUAUUUCUAUAUCCUUACAAACUUCUCAGUUUUGUAACAUUUAUGCAUUUGUGAUGUCCUUCCAUACCUUCUAUACUGUAAAGUCUAAAAAGAAAGGAUGUCAAAUAAAUUAAUAAAUAAAUAGAUAAAAUCAAGUAGUACAAAUAUAUAUUAUGGAGUAACUUAUGGCCAUUGUUUAUGAGAGAUAUAUGGAGUUUGCUCAGAUUUUGCAAUCAUGGCUGCUAUACAUGUCCAAUCAAGUUGCAUAGAUAAAGGGAAUGUCAUCUUAGUUUUUAAAGAAUUCAAGAAAAGCACACUCUUAGUCCUUUAACUAUCUUGGGGUUUCCCUUACUGACUCAUAUUUUACUUUUUACUUUACAUAUUCACCCCCCCCCCCCAACACACUUUUUUUUUGUCCUCUUUGCUCUCUCUGUUUCCCCUAGAAACCUUACCACUUUAAGUGGUACCACCACUGCCUCCGUAGCAAACAUGUCGGCUUAAUUCAUUGCCAUUCAGUUUUAAGAUCCAACAUUCCUUAUAAGUUUCACACAUGGUAACAACCCUGUAUAUACAUGAGCAACACUAGUGCUGCCCAUAACUUUAGUCAUAGCCUUCCUACUGUAAAGUAUUGAAAUAACUGCGUCAUUUUAUGGAGAGCAGGGCCUUCUUCAACAUUUAUUUCUGUAAGUUUCUGUAUGUCAAUUAUUUGUUGUCAAAACCACCAAAGGGAAUUUACUCUUUAGGAAACUGUAGAAUCUACAAUUCCACUCUGUUUAGUAGUUGCAGUUGCAGAAUUAAUCCAGGAAUAUAGUCCCACUCAGUGUUUUAUAUUUACAAUUUUUUUUUUUUUUUUUAACCAAAGCAGCGGUAGUGCUAGAGAUUGCAUGUUAUCUUGAAUUUCAGCUGCUGUGGAAUGCAGCACUCAUACAUAACUGUAUAUACAGAUGCACACAACCAGCAGUGAAAGGGGAACACCAUAAUUAAAGGACCACUAUAGUGCCAGGAAAACAAACUAGUUUUCCUGGCACUAUAGUGUUAAUAGGUCCUCCCCCACCCUCAUGGCCCCCCUCCCGCCGAGCUGAAGUGGGAGGAAGGGGUUAAUCCCUUACCUUUCUUCAGCCCCGGGCUCCCUCGGCGCUGGGGACUCUCCUCCUCCUUCCGACCUCAUCAGUUGAAUGUGCAUGCGUGGCAUAAGCCGGGCGCGCAUUCAGUCAGUCCAUAGGAAAGCGCGGAAGCCCCUCUACCGUCUGUCAAUGAGACAGCCACUAAAGGCUGGAUUAACCCAUAUGUAAACAUAGCAGUUUCUCUGAAACUGCUAUGUUUACAGAAGGCAGGGUUAACCCUAGGUGUACCUGGCACGCAGACCAUUUCAUUAAGCUGAAGUGGCCUGGGUGCCUAUAGUGGUCCUUUAACAUUGCAUUACACUAGUGGUUAUGUUUGUGUUGGAUUGCACACUGUGAAUCACUGGAUUUGGAAACAUGAUUUGCCUACCAUAAUAAUUUGCUAUAAUUUAAAUGAAACACACACUAUUGGAAUGCAUGCCAUGUUAACAAUAACAGCAUAAAGCUACAAUAGUCCUUAUAAUGUUACUUUACCUACUCUUUUCUACAGGAGAGCUCCCUCUGUCUCUAGCAGCGUGUACGAAUCAGCCCGAUAUUGUAAAUUUCCUUCUAAAUAACCCAUACCGGAAAGCUGACCUCGCUGCCAGAGAUAGCCAUGGAAACACUGUAUUACAUGCUCUGGUUUUGGUGGCAGAUAACACAGAAGAGAAUACAGAAACAGUAACUAAAAUGUAUGAUGAUAUUUUGAAGAAAUCAGUGAAAAUUAAUCCACAACUCGGACUGGAAGAACUUGCCAACUGGGAGGGACUAACUCCUUUAAAACUGGCAGCAAAAACUGGCAAAAUUGAGGUAGGUCCAUGGAAAUAUCCUGUGUGCCAAAUGGGGAGCACGUGAAAAGUCAAGUUAAAAAUGUGGCUAUUAAAUCUAGCAAAAUUAUAUUGCUGUGUUUAUAAGAUCAAAGCCUUAAUUUCCUAACCUAGAUUUGGAACUUUUUUCUAACGUUAUUGAAUCAUUUGGAAAGCUUAUUAAAAUAAGUGUAAUUUAAACUCAUGCUAUAGAUUACGAGGCAUAGAUUAGGUGGUCUUUGGGGCUAGGUGGAGACUUAGAGAUAAAGGUCAAGUUCUGGCUAGGAGGUUACAGUCCAUCAUACCUUGAAGACUGGUAACAAUUAACUAUAAGUUACUCUUAACUCAAAUUUUAGUAUACCUCUAACUCUUAACCUAUCCCUAAAUUACCCAAAACCUAACUGUCUACCUGCAAGUCCACCUUAUGCUAUGUCACGCCUAAAACGCUUCCUCAUCAGAAACCAACCCCAAUAACAAAACCUGCUUUAAAGAUGUCUUUUUAAAGAUGCUGCUGCUGCAAACUUAUACAUCAUCAUUAUUAUGUCUUGCUGUUUAUUUUAUCUAAUUUUAUUUUAUAUUGUUUAUAUUAAAUAUGUAAAAGAAGACCAUUUAAAAUCCCUUCCCAUUGUGUCUUAUACCCCACCUCCUAUAGACUGUAAGCUCGUUUGAGCAGGGUCCUUUCUAACCUAUUGUUCCUGUAAGUAUUCUUGUAAUUGUCCUAUUUAUAGUUUAAUCCCCCCUCUAAUAAUAUUGUAAAGCGCUAUGGAAUCUGUUGGUGCUAUAUAGAUGGCAAUAAUAAUUAUAAUGAUAAUAACCGCCAUUAAAAUAGUAAGUAAAUGUAAAACAGAAAAGCGCAUCCCUACUUUUAUUAUGUGACAGGAUUCUCCAGCCAUAUACAUGCAGCUCUGGUCAGACAGUUGUUGAAAACCAACAAUUAGUUCUAGUCUCACUCCUUGUACAGAAGCAGGAAAGACAAUAGAGACUAACUUUCCAAUUUUGGAUACUGUCGGACCAAAGGUUCAUGUAGGAAUGGGUUUUCUAGUGUUUUACAUAUGCGUAAUUUAGAAAACAAAAAAUCUAUUUUCUAUCGACACAUGAUGGAAGGAUUGUUAUAUUAAAACAUAUUUUUGGGGUGAGAGAUGUCCUUUAAAGGUAUACUGGAGAAUGUACCAAAUCAACAGGAAAUGUCAUAUAUAUGAUUCACAACACUGCAUUGCCAUCUGCAGGACAGAUCCAAUAUUACACAUGUUAAAAACAGAUGGACUUUAUUGAUGGAUAGUCAAGAGAUAUGGUACGAAUUCAUAUAAGAGAGGAAUAUCUUAGUACUCCCUAUAAUUUAAGUUUUUUUUAAGCUGAAUGUCUGUCUGCAUGAUGUGAUGUAGAUAAAUAAUUUUGUUUGGAAGUUGCAUGUACACUCCUUCCUCCAUUACUGCUACAAAAUGGGAGUCUAACUAAUGCAGGGGUCCCCAGAAUUCUCUUUUAACCAUUAGCCCUGUACAGUGAUCCUCCUGAUAUCUAUGUCCAAUGGGGUGAUAUGCAUACUAAAACAAUGUAACAGGUACUUUAUGCUUUAGAUUAGAUCCUUUUAAAACUGCAUGAAUCUCCAUCACGCCCUUUUAGUCAGAUUUUUUUUUUUUUUUUGCAGAUAAAUGUAUGGCUACAAAGUGAGCUGGAACAUUUUGGGCCUCUGAAUUGCCUUUAGUAAAUACUGAAACACUGAUUUUUGUCAAUUUCUGUGAUUGUCACUGGAUAUUUAAAAUCAGAGGCACAUUCAAAUAUUUUUUUUAUGUUUUUUCCUAUUUUAAUGGAAUAUAGCUUAUUUUAUGUACGUUGAUGAGUGAAUUGAUUGUUGCCGAUUCAACAAAGUAAUAAAAUAUUUGCAGUGGACAAAUUGCAUUUUUUUUAGGAAUUCACAUAGUUAAGCUUAGAAUACUUUAGACACUGUAACUAUUUAAAUAUUAAAUAUAAUUUUUACACUUGUUUGAUAUGUCUCGUGUAUUUCAGUUGUUCAGACACAUACUUCGGAGAGAGAUAACAGAGCCAGAGUAUAAACAUCUUUCUCGAAAGUUCACAGAGUGGACCUAUGGACCAGUGCACACAUCACUAUAUGAUCUGUCAUCUGUGGACACGCAUGAAAGGGACUCUGUUUUGGAAACAAUUGUGUUUAAAAGUAAUGCCAAUGUGAGUAUCAAAUAUCUGUAUACUUCAGCAGAUUUGUAAUGUUUAGCAUGUCUUGACAUUAAGCUAUGCUCAUAUUGUAACAUAAAAUUUUUAUUUUUUUAUUAUUAGAAGAGAAGUGCGGUACAAGGCACAAAAUACAUAUAUGCAACUUUUGGCAUUACAUUAAAAAAGUAAAUUUGUUAGAUGGUAUACCAUAUACAUAAAUGCUAAAUCUAUCAUAGCUUUAAGUGUGGUCCCAAAGAACUAGAAGAAGAAUUCUCAUUAAGACCCCUUUACUGUCCUUUUUUAUUUCUUUAAUGCAGUAUAUAAUCCACCACCGAGAACAAUAGUAAGGCGGAGAAGAAAAGCCAAAUAGUUUCAGGAAAGAAAUAAAAAAUGUAUAUCAACCAACAGGGUCUUUUGACUAAGUUUGGAAACAUAUUAACAUCAAUUGGGGAUAAUUAAAGAGGAGUCUUCCUCUCCCAUGUAGUGUGGAUCGUUGCUUGUUGUCAUCACAUUCUUCCAGAACUACAAUUGAUUACACUGUACAAGAGUGACAUGAGCUGGUAAAGUUGCCUCUGCUAAUGGAUUGUUCAGAGACAACAUGCUAGACACCAGAAAUGUUGGAAACCGGAGAAUGGCUGUAAAACUGUCCAUUUUAUUUCUAUAAGUAAUAACAUGAAAGGUCAGCUGGGUGAGGUCAUAUAUCAGAUGUAUCCCAUAUACAUACAUGUAUCCCAUAUACUUGGAAGCUAAUAUCACUUUGCAGUUUGCAUUCGUGAUAACAAACGCAGUCCACUAGAAGUUCAUGUUAUUGUGCAGACUACAGCGACUGAUUGGGUGGUCUGUAGUUACUUUUGAGAGUUCAGUUGUAAAAAGUGUAGUUGUAUGAAUCUAAAAAAUACAUUGCAAUGGUUUUGCUUUCACACAAAACAUUUCCCAAAUCAAUUAAUUCAUAUUGUUUUAAUAUAAUACUUACAAAUUUCUAAUCAUUUCUCAAUAAAUAUAUAUAUAUAUAUAAUCCUUGUAUUUUGUUUCAUAUUUCUCUGCAGAACCGGCAUAACAUGAUCGUAAUUGAACCAAUCAACCAGUUGCUGCAAGACAAAUGGGAUGCGUUUGCUGGCAAAAUAUUUUAUUUGAAGUUCCUCUUGUAUAUUGCUUAUAUGAUUAUAUUUACAGUGACAGCUUACAACAGACCCCUGGUUGGACAGGUGAGAGUGAGUGCCAAUCACUAUCAGAUCUCCCUUCAUUCCUGCAUUAGUCAGAGUGCCGAAUGUGAAGCACUUUAUCAGAAGGGAACACAACAGGUGCUUGACUGGUCAGAGAGACAUUUUUAUCUUUCCACCAGCUUGAGGUGCAGCAGAUUGGAAAUUGUGGCCGACACUCCAGAUGAAUGUCUAAUUCACCCUAACUGUGCACUAUAUCUGCAACAAUUGAUGGAUAGAUUUAAUUGAAUACGUAUAUUGUGAUUAUUAGAUUAAAAGAGAAAAAUAUACAAUCUAUACAGUUUUCAAGCAAAGAUUAAUUUAUUAAAUAACUGGGACUUGCAGAAAAAAAACUAUUCUUUUUAUACACUGAGAGUACAUAAUAAUUAUGUACUCUCCUCUUCUUUGAUCUGUCCCAAAAAUGAUUUAAAAAUCCAGACUAUGCUAUUUUUAGUGCAAACAUGUAUGCAUGGGUUUUUAAAUCUGUAUUUAGGCUUCAAUUUAAUAUUAGCCUUUAAAGUGAAUUACUGUUGGAUAAGCUUUACAGAUGAUUUAAUAUUGUAUGGAUACACUUUUAAAAUGCUUUUUUUAGAUUUGUGCUCGGGGCAACAUCGAAUAUGAUUAAUGCAAGACUGUGUAAUAGCGUAACCUGUAAUAGGAAAAAGUCGGUUGUGGUGUGCCAAAACCGACGUAUGCAGUAGGCCAGUAAAUAAAGUGGGCCCACCCUCGUAGAAUGUAAUGAAUAAAGGGAGUGGAUGGGGGGGCAUACAUAUUGCCAGACCAAUAACGGUAGGGUAGGAAAGGGGGGAGUCCCUUAUAUAGGUCCAUAAACUACUCCCACAAAUCCAGGCACAGCCUUUACAUUUGUGUUCGGGGCAACAUCGAAUAUGACUAAUGCAAGACUGUGUGAUAGCGUAACCUGUAAUAGGAAAAAGUUGGUUGAGGUGUGCUGAAACCGAGGUAUGCGAUAGGCCAGUAAAUAAAGUGGGCAAAAAGGGAGAAGUACCAUGCCGUUGUACAUUUAUUGAAAAAUUAACAUAAUAUAAAGUAAAUACAAAUAUGAUGACAUUUUAACAAAAGCUUUCCGCAUUUCCUUUCCUUUUUUUCUGGGGAACAGUGCAUCAUAACCACUACUACACUCUGUAGUUGUUCUGAUGCUUGGAAUAACCCUUUAAGAAUGAUGACCUUUGCCAUCUCUAAGGAUAAGCAGGACCAGGUUCUUAGUCACUUAUAAAAUAUCAUUAGGAUCAUUAAGAUAAAGAUAUGUAAUAAACCUAACGAUUAUAUUUACAUUGUUCUUAAAUGUAUUUAAUCCUUUCCAUGCAGCCCCCAUUCCCUUUGGAAGGAACCGUAAAAGAUUCUUUUCGUGUGUUUGGAGAAGUUAUCAUCAUGUUUGGUGGUGUGUACGUACUAAUAUGCCAGGUACAUGAUUAUAUGAUGCUACUUUGUCACAUUAAUGCACAGCAGUGUUUAUAUUAAAAAGUGUUAUUUCACACCUGAGUUCUACUGUGAGUGAAAAAUACACUCAAUAUUUAUUUGAAAAUGUCCUGGAUAUAGUGCUAGCAUGUAAGAUUAGAGCAAAAUCAUUUUUGUGCAUGAACUGAAGUUGAAAGAUAUUUUUUUUUUUUUAAAUGUAAAUGCACAAAACUUCAGAUUUUCAUUUAUUUGUUCAUGAUGUGCAGGAAAUUGGAGAGUGGGGCAUGCAUUUGUAUUUGACAUGAUAAUGCCCAUUUAAUCAACCAUUUUAAACAUGUGUUUUAAGUAUGUCACAUACAGUUUUUGAGAAAUGUCAUAUGCAACCUUAAGUAAUUGCAGCUAUCAUUUUAUCACUUGAUUAAUUCAGAAAAUUUCUUCAUACUUUGCGAAAUUUUCUUUUCCUUGAUAUAUCCAUGACAGCAUCACUAUAGGGUUAGCUCCUCCCCCUUGGCUGUUUAGGACAGGAAAUACUUUACAAAUGGACCCUCCUUACUUGGUAUUGUCAGUCUUAUAACACGUUUGAAGGAUCUAAAAAUGGGAAGGGAAAGAUUUUGAUGUUGCCAUAUAUAUAUCCAGGAAAAGAAAAUUACGGUAAGUAUGAAGACAUUUUCUGAAUUCCUGGCUAAUCCAUGGCAGCAUCACGAUGUGGUAAUACCCACACUCAACUUAGGGGAAUGAAAUCAAAACCAAAGACAAAAGUAUAAUGCUCUAGAAAAGAUUCUUUAUUAUCCAGAAUCAAAGAGGUUCAUGAAACCGAGGAAAGGAUAUUCCUUCCAAACUCUGUAGCUUUCCGAGAUCUUACAUCCAAGGCAUAAUGCUUUAUAAAAGUGUUAGUCAAGGCCCAUGUAGCUGCUCUGCAAGUGCUCUCAAUAGGUGUGUUGCAUGCAGCUGCCCAUGAUGUAGAUAGAGAUCUCGUAGAAUGAGCCCUUAAACCUGAAGGGACCUGUGCUUCCUGGGCCUGAUAUGCGGAAGAGAUGGCCGCAAUUAUCCAACGGCUUUAAGUAGGUUUGGAUGCAGCAAAGCCUCUACGAUGCCCAGCAAAGUUCAGGAAGAGCCUAGAUGAUUUUCUCCAACUAGCCGUCUUAUCCACAUAGAUAGAAAGACACCUGGAGACAUCUAAGGUAUGCCAUCCCUCUUACUCUGGAUUCGAUGGACACUGAAAAAAGGAUGGAAGAACUAUUACCUCAUUAAAAAUCAAACUCAGACAUCACUUCAGGAUGGAAUUCCGGAAUUGUCCGUAGGACUACUCGAUCAGGGUAGAUUACCAUACAGGAUUCUUCUGCAGAUAAGGCCUGAAUUUCAGAAAUCCUCCUGCCUGACGUAAUUGCAAGAAGAAGGAGAACUUUAAAAGUAAUCAGACGAUCCGUGGAAUCCGUUAGAGGUUCAAAAGGAGGAAGAGACAACGCCUUUAAAACUAAAGGAAGGUCCCAGGGCCGAGACAGGGACCUAAUAGAAGGCUUUACUUUCUUAACUGCUGUUAGAAAAUGGCCUACCAUGUUAUCCAAAGCCCACCUGGAACCAAUAAGAGCAGAUAAGGCUGAAACUUGCACACAUAGGGAACUUAGGCUUAGCCCUUUAUCCAGACCAGUCUGCAGAAAAUCCAAGAUGUUGGAGACCUUAGGAGAAAGCCAAGAGGCCUUGUUAUCUUUAGCCCAGUAAGCAAAACCCAUCCAUAUGUAAUAAUAAGUAGAGCAAGUUGACCUUCUCCUGGAUGGCAAAAGGGUACUGAUCACUGCUUGAGAAAAACCCCUGUUAGCUAGACUCUCCUUUCAAUUUCCAUGCCAUCAAAUGGAGUGUCUUUGGAGACGGUGAACCGCUGGUCCCUAAAUUAGAAGGUCCGGAAUGUCCAGUAACUUCCAUGGCUGGACAAUUGAAAGGAACUUGAAGAGAGGGAACCACAGCCUGCGAGGCCAAAACGGAAUUAUCGCCAACACCUGGAGACCCUCCAUCUAGAUCCUCUUCAAGGUCUUUCAUAUGAGAAGAAAUGGGGGAAAGACAUAGGCCAGCUUGAAUGGCCAAUUGUUGGACAGGGCGUCUGUGGCCAAUGCAUUGGAAUAAAAUGUUCUGGAGAAGAAUGUCGGAAGUUGGGAGUUUGAUGCUGGUGCCAUGAGAUCCACCUCCGGAGUUCCCCAACGCAAAACUAGUUGUUGUAAGAUCUUGGGAUUCAACUGCCAUUCUUUGGGAUCUAGAUAAUGCCUGCUGAGGAAGUCUGCUCUCGAAUUUUCUGUUCCUGGAAUGUAAAUUGCAUACAGUCCCAACACUAUCUUCUGAGCCCACAACAUAAUGGGUUCUAGUUCCUGAAGAAGAUCCUUGCUUCUGGUACCACCAUGCCUGUUUAUGUAAGAUACCGCUGUUCGAUUGUCUAUGCAAAUCUUCACCCAUUUCCCCAUUAAGAUGUCUUGAAAGUGAAUCAGACCCAAGAAAACUGCUCAUAGCUCUAGAAGGUUGGCUGGAAUGUGAGAGGCUUUUUUUUCCCCAUUUGCUUUGGGCAUUCCAUUGCAGAAGAUGAGCACCCUAACCUAGACCACUGGUGUCUGUCAUUAAGGUUAUUCAUACUGCUUCCCCCUGAGGAAAACCUUUGCGGAGAUUUGCAGGGUCCUGCCACCAGUUCAAGAUUGUCCAAAGCUUGUCUGUAAUGAGAAUCGUUUUGGACCACUUGUCCCUGUUCUGGUUAAAUCUUCUAAAAAAAAUAUAUAUGGGGAUAGCGAAGAUGCCACUGAGCCCACUUUACCAGGCCAAUGGUCGAGGAAAAAUUGCCCAGCAUGCUCAUCAAUACUUCUGUUGAAACCCAUUUCGAGUCGAUUACCUUCUGGACCCGUGUUAUGAUACAAUCUCUUCUUUCUUUUGAAAGAAAAAAACAUCACUAAUCUUGUGUCGAACCAUACUCCCAAAACGCAUAUACACUGGAUAGGAAAAAUCUGACUUUUUUGGUAGUUGAUAAUCCAUCCAAACUCUUCCAAUGUCCUUAUUGUCUCAUCUCUUUGAACUAUAAGGUUGUCUCUUGAUUCUCCUACUAGAAGAAUGUUGUCCAGAUAAUAUUAAAUAUUGAGACCUUGCAGUCUCAUCUGCACUAUCAGAGCUAAAAAAAACCAUUUGAAAAAGUCCUUGGCGCCAUACCUAGUCUGAAGGGAAUAGCUCUGAACUGAAAAUGGUCUCCUAGAAUGACAAACCUCAGGAAUCUUUGAUGAUGUUUUGCUAUCGGGAUGUGGAAAUAGGUGUCUUUGAAAUCUAUUGAGAUCAUCCAGUCUUCUGGACAAAUAACUGAGAUUAUAGAAGUCAAAGACUCCAUCCUAAAUCUCUGGACAUUGAGAGAUAGAUUCAGGUUGUGUAAAUCCAGGAUCGAACGCCAAUCUCCCAAGGACUUUGGUACCAGGAAGAGAUUUAAAUAGAUGCCUUGAAAUCUUUCUGGCCGAGGAACCCUUAAGAUCACUCCUUUUUGAAGAAGAUUGGAUAUGUCUCUUAUAAGGGCUUGCCUUUUCACUGGAAUACCUGGAAAAAAAUUGUAACAGGAAAGUUCUCGGAAUUCCAGCCUGUACCCGUCUUUGCGAAUAGAAACUACCCAGGGAUCCAGACAUGCUUGUGCCCAGGUCUCCCAAAAGAGAUGGAGGUGGGCUUCUACACCUGAGACCUGGGGGCCCAAACCUUUGGAAGGGCCUAUUUGAUGCCCUAGAACCAACUGAUGGUUUACUUCUGUUACCUCUUCCAGACUGGCCUCCUCUCCAAGCUGAUUCUCUAGCAAAUUCUCUUCCUUGUUUAUAUGACCUUGAAUCUCAAAAGGAAGGUCUGUCAUGAAAGGAUCUUAUGUCUUGUCAAUUCUGGGAGACCUUCUUACCCCUUUGAUACUGAGGAAGAAACGCCUUCUUGCCUUCUGCAGCACGUUUAAUGGCUUCCUCAAAUUGUUUGCCAAACAAUAAAUGUCCCUGAAAUGGGAUACCAUAUAAGCUAUUCUUAGAGAAUAAAUCAGCAUUCCAGGAUUAUUCCCAAAGAACUUUAUAAAAAACUUUAUUUAAAAAAAGGCUCCUAUAGCAUUUCAGAGUGGGAGAAAAUGAGGAGAAAAUAAGAUAAAAAUAAAAGGAUAUUAUAAGAAUAGUGUUACAGUAUACUAUUAAGAUACACAACAAUGAUAAACAACAAACUAAACAGCACAUUGGCUAUGUUUGUGAAUGUGGUAACCGCAUCACCCGUAAUCUCUUUAUAAGGUGCACUCAUUCCAAGCUGUGUAAGUGUCAGUUCAAGAAAUCAAUAUGAAAACCACAAUUAAAACCCACAUUGUGGUUCUACACAGGUAUGGGACAUUCAAAUCUGAGGUGGUUAAUGUCGCACAAUGGAUUAUCCGGUAAAACAACUUAUGAAAAUACGUUAAAAAUCAUAGAUAUAAAUAUAAAUAGAUAUCAAAAGCUAAUAAAAAAUGAUAAAAAAUGACACAUUUUCAAGUGUGCCUAGAAGACGACCCCCUUGAAGAUCUGGACACAGACGUAAGGGCAGCUGUUUUAUAAAAGAAACAAUAAAAAAUAAAAUGAAUGAGGGUUAAAAUAAAUAAUUAUAAAAGUAGUACAUUUUAAAAAGAAAUCCACUUACCUGCACUAACACUUGUAGAUGCCAGAGCACAAGAAGAAAUUCCUACUCAAAAACCAGCAACCAGCAAAACGAGAGAGAAAAAAAAGGACCAUUUAAAUAUGGAGCUUGCAACUUACAGGACCUCCCACAGAAAAUUCGUGCAACUGCACAUGCCCAAACUGCCGAAAUGCGCCAAAAUGGAAAUAGAAUAAAAGUAUUAAUUUUCUUGUUCAAGAAACGAAUGGCCCGUUCGUGCCGUGAACGAUAUUAAUUCCCGAACUGUAAAAUAUAAUCAACAAUAGGGAAAUGAAUGUGAAUGAAACCAUUCAAAUCUCCCGAACAAGAACAAAGUACAUAAAAGGGAACGCCGACCAAGAUGGCGGAAUGGCGCAAAAAGAACCGAAAGAAAACUAAGAGAAAGGUGAGUAUACCGCAUCAUGCUAAAGGCAAUGCCCUAAAGACAUAAACAGAGGUAAAAAAACAUAAACAGAGGUAAAUUAAAACAAAAAUAUGUAAAGGUAAUAUAAAAUACCUGAAACCUUGUCCAUAGCCAAGAGGACAGGAACAAAGACUGAUGAUACCAGUUAAGGAGGGUGUAUUUGUAAAGUAUUUCCUAUCCUAAACAGCCAACGUAGGAGCUAACCCUAUCGUGAUGCUGCCAUGGAUUAGCCAGGAAUAGUAUUUUUUUUUUAGCUCUAACAUAAUUCACAGCACUUUACAAAUGUAUUUUAUCAUUUGAACUAAAAUAUGAUUAUUACAUGUUUUCUCUUAUACAGAUUAUCUAUUUCUGGAAGAGACGACCCUCUUUACAAAUUAUAAUGAUGGAUGGUUAUUUUGAAGUCCUUUUGUAAGUUGCAACUUAGUAUAUAUAAAGUAUAUAUCUAUUAUUUUAUAAUUUAUAUAUAAAGAUUGAUUAUCUAUUUUAUAAGAAAGCUUCACGUUCAAAACAGGAAAGCGGAUCAAUAUGUCAUUUUAGCAGCUCCGGAAAUCUUUAGUAGAUCUAGAAUUCGCUUUAGUUCCUUAAAGAUUCAAUGGAACGCAACUAUGAAUGCAUUUCUUAGCAUACGUAUAUACAUUUUGUAAUGUACAGUACCUUUUAAAAUGUCCAUUAUUGGAUAUAUUUGAUAUAACUAUUUUCUUUAAUCUAUGUCUACAUACCUAUUGUAAUCUAACCGUUUUCAAAUUGUAAUUUAACCACUCUAUAACACUAGCAUCAAAUGUAUAUGAUUCACCUUAACCCUUUUAUCUACCAAGCGGCUUGCAGAAAAUACACCCCUAGAAUCUGAGUAUUUUGGAUGUCCUGGAAAAAAAUGUUUACAUUUAUUUUUCAUUUCAGUAUGUCUAGAUAACACAUUAUUUAAUGGAAACAAAAUGAAAAUUUUGUCUGGACAGAAAAAACUUUAAAAAAAUUAAUAAUUUAGCGAUUAAUGAGAUUACAGAUAGGAAAACAAAGUUGUAAAUGAACAACAUUUCUCAAUAUGCAAUAUAGACUGUGGUGGAACCGCUGCCUGUUCAUGGGUUUUUCCCUCUCUUUUACAUGUGUUUCCCCUGUAUGUUCAUUUAUUAUUAUUAGGGAAUUCAUUCACCUCCCGAAUGGGGUCCACCCCAAUACCUCAGUUAGAAUGUUAGGUUAAAAUGUUUACACCUCGCAACAUGUGUCAAAAUCGCAAACGCAACUCAUUCGUCUCCCGAACGAGGACCUACCCGGUGCCCCAUUAAAACGUUCACACCAAUUAAUCAGAACGUUUGCACUCGCAACAUAGGUGUGAAACCGCAAGGGAAGUAAUUAAUAAGUGCUCCCCUGGGUGACCGCCAUUUGUAUUGACGAACAACAAUCUGGGGGAGCAUUCAUACCCCAAAAGGAGAUGCUUCCCUUGUCUGGGUUUUACACUAGGACCUUGCGAACGGAGACUAGUCGAUAGAGGGACCAAGACGAGGGUCCUUGAGAUUGGUGUGGACACUUUUGGGGCACUGGCUAGUUUGGCGGCUCUCAAGAGCCUGAGGGACAAAGAGGCUAGCUCUUUUCCCGCAGGCGGGCUUUUCUGUGCCUGGGAGACAAAGGAACGGUCCCUUUUUCCCGCGCCUAGACUCCCAGACACAGAGGCUCUUGGGAAGAAGACCCCUGGCGGUUGGUGUGGGGAACCCUUUGGAUUGAGUGGCAGGCUUUUGGGACAAAGGGGAUGGAGUCCCUUCUCACGCUGAGGCCCCAGGGAGGGGGAGGAUUUUGGGACGUGACCCUGUAUGAUUGUGUGGUAGACCCCUUGCACGGGGUUAUGCAUAAAAGCCGUGUGUGGUCAAUUAGGUUGUGUUGUACCUCCAGGUCUGUAUCGUCCAGUUAUUGGGGGGGGGCAUGAAAAUGGGUCUCCUUAUUCUCUAACUGGUUCCCGACCGGCUGAAGGAAGGGAAUUAGCAGCGGUAACCAGUCGGGUUACCCUGGGUACACUACAUAGACUUUUUUCUUCAUAUAGUCUAUAAUCUUCCCUAUACAUUGCCCGGUAUGCACCCAGUUCUCACUUGUGUGAAAAUAUAAAUCUAUCCCUAUGUAUUUUGAAUAUGUUGCCACAUUACCAUGACAUUACCCAUACCAUAUCACCCUCACAUUACAGCCAUGUUGCCUCGCACAGAAAUACAUGCUCACACAUACUGAUACACGCACGCACAGAAUGCCUAGUUCUCUGGUCUUAGCCAGAGGGCAGCCUGCACAAAGAGCAGUGAAGCACCGUGUAGAAAUCUCUAGAUCUCCCGACUGGCCCUUGUUGUGCAGGGAGCUGAGGCCGAGCACAGCAGAACCAGCACUUAAAAGGUAACACCAACUCUGCUAUCAGCACAAUCAUUGCUAGAUAAAUUAGUUUGCAAUGAACUAAUAUCAUUUGCAUGGAUAUUUAUCAUGUAAACAUGAUGUGAAGUGGUUAAACAUAAUAAUGCCACUCAGCAUCAUUUGUUUGGGGCUCACCCAGUGUUUAUUGUAUAGCAUAAGUCACUGACGAAAACCAUUAUUACUGUGGAUGUUAUGGGCUACUUUUUCCAUAUGGCUGACUGAGUUUCACUAGAGGUGUGUUCCAUAAAAUAAUUUAAAAGGGGUUAACUGCCAAGUGCAUUGGUGAUCUUGUUAUUUAGUACCGGACUUUUAACUUUGCCCUUUUUUUCCAGCUUGCUCCAAGCAAUUAUAUUGCUUUGCAGUGGUAUCGUUUAUCUCGCAGGAAAUGAAGCUUAUGUUACUUUCUUGGUCUUGGCAAUGGUGAUAGGAUGGGUGAAUAUGUUAUAUUACACUCGUGGCUUUCAGCAGACUGGAAUCUACAGUGUCAUGAUACAGAAGGUAUGACAUCAUAUUGAUGGUAGAUUUAAGUGCUCCAUCUUCAACCAUGUCUGCUUAGUAUUAACAGGCAAAGCAUAAUCUUAUUUAUUAUUAUUAUUAUUAUUAUUAUUAUUAUAGACUUUCCUUUUGCAUUUUUCAAGUUGUUGGACAGCAAUUUUUAUAAUUCUUGUAUUUUAAUAGAUACUUUUGUCUUUUGAACAAUGUUAUUGCACUCUAUUGCUCUCUCUGCAGGACAGCCAGAACAGUAACAAACAUACAGGAGUUUAGUCAGGCUGGAUUAAUAUGACUUUAUAUCACUAUUCCAUCCCACUCUUUGUCAAUGGCUGCCUGGCUUGGCCAGCAGUGUCUGUGCUGCUUAGUUGUCCUCCUCGCACAGAAACACAUGCUCACACAUACUGAUACACGCACGCACAGAAUGCCUAGUUCUCUGGUCUUAGCCAGAGGGCAGCCUGCACAAAGAACAGACAGCCUGCCUUUAAGUUUCGCCCGCCCACUGGCAACAGACCAUUUCCACUGCCAAUCAUCCCACCCACCAGCCAUUUGGGUCAACUACAGAAGGUCUGGCUGAGAUCAUUAAGCACACUUUCCACCAUUCUGCCAGUGCAGCUCCACCAACCUGGUGCCAGCCACUGUGAUCAGUGUGUAAUAUUGCUGAUUGUUAUAAGGAGUUGGGAAGAUUGUAUUUAAUGUACUGCAUUUAUGUGAUUCAUGAUUGUUAUCUGCACUUUCUUUCUUUUCAGACCAUACUGAGAGACAUGCUUCGCUUCUUGUUUGUGUACCUUGUCUUCCUCUUUGGAUUUGCAGCAGGUACUUUUCUAAAUUAAGGUUAAGGUCACUAACACUUACACACAGGGAAGUAUGUGGUUAGUAAUACAUAGACUUAUACAUUUAAAAGAUUUAAGCCAAAAUCGUAAUGAAAUUGUGGUUUAACUAUAUAUAUUUGUUAUAAACAAAAUAAUAGUCACAUUUGCAAUCCGUUAGACAUAUGCAAUUUGUUUCGGUCCGAAUUAAAAUUUGGCCGAAUUUCGGGUAAUUCGGACAUUCGGGUGCUUCCGAAUGUCCGAAUAGCUGAAUUGACGAAGUGCCGAAUUGCUGAAGUCCCGAAGUGACAAAAUUACCGAAUUUCUGAAGUGUAGUAGUGCCGAAUUGCUGAAGUGCCGAAGUUGCAGAAGUUCCGAGGUGUCAAAGUGCCGAAGUUCUGAGGUUCCGAAGCACAGUAUUGCCUAAGUACUAAUAUACUUACCCAGUGAAAGAAGAAGAAUGUUACAUUGUAUACAUUUUCAAAUAAAUAGUAUACAAACAUAGCCAGGAUUCAGCUGUAAGCAUUUGCAACACUUACAACAAUCAAGUAACUUACAUUUAUAUAAAAUGUAAGUUACCUAGCCUGUCAUGUAAUGACAGGAAUGAAUAAGUAGAUAACUCCCUAAUUCCUGAUAUUAGGGAGCUAUCUACCAAAAGGCUGAAAGACCCGAAUUGGUCUUUCAGCCAAAUUUACUAAUACUAAGUAAAGAUUUGCUGUGUAAUUUGACUCAUAACUCUCUGAUUGGUUACUUAAUUCACCAAUCAGAGAGUUACGAGUCAAAUUACACAGCGUGGGAAAAUUCCAAAGAACUUUCCCAUGCUGUGUAAAAUGACACAGAGCACUCUGAUUGGUGGAUUUCAAACCAACCAAUCAGAGUGUUGUGACAGGUAAGUGUAGAGACUUACCUGUCAGUCUCUUCAUUUACCUGUCAGAACACUCUGAUUGGAUGGCCUAAACCCACCAAUCAGAGUGGUCUGAGCCUAAUUGCAGGGUGGGGAAAGGCUUUAUAAGCCUUCCCCCGCCUUGCAGAGCUCAGUCUGCGCGGAGCCCUCCAUGGGUGAAGAUGGAUUAUUUUUUUUUGCGCUCUGUUUUUUUUUUUUUUUUAAUUGCGUUGGUUAUUAUCGAUUUUUAUUUUGCCUUUUUUGGGGCUGAAAAAAGAAGAUAUUAGAAGAAACAAGACAUCAAAUGGUAAGUUUAUUUUUAUUUUUACAGGUACUUAGUUAAAGGUCCCCCCUUAUUAUUUUUAGGGUGAGGAUGGUAGGUAGGGGUUUAUUUUUUGGGGGAGGAGGUGACUAGGGGUUUGGGGACCCUAGUCACCUGGGGGAAGGGGGAUAAAUUUGUAUUUAGGGCCCCCACCCACCGCUCAGGGGUGGGGGCCAGGGGGGAGGACAUUAGGUCCCCCCCUUAUUCUUGUUUAGGGCCCCCACCCACUGCUCAGGGUUUGGGGCCAGGGGGGAGGACAUUAGGUCCCCCCCUUAUUCUUGCUUAGGGCCCCCACCCACCGCUCAGGGGUGGGGGCCAGGGGGGAGGACAUUAGGUCCCCCCAAUUUGUAUUUAGGGCCUCCACCCACCGCUCACGGUUGGGGGCCAGGGGGGAGGACAAUAGGCCCCCCCUUAUUCUUGUUUAGGGCCCCCAUCCACUGCUCAAGGGUGGGGGCCAGGUGAGAGGACAAUAGGUCCCCCCUUAUUCUUGUUUAGGGCCCCCUCCCACCGCUCAGGGGUGGGGGCCAGGAGGGAGGACAUUAGGUCCCCCCUCUUUUUCUUUUUUAGGAACCACACCCACCGCUCAGAGGUGGGGGCUAGGGGAGGACAAUAAGUCUCCCCCCAAUUUGUAUUUAGGGCCCCCACCCGCCGCUCAGGGGUGGGGGCCUGGGGGGAGGACAUUAGGUCCCCCUCCCUUAUUAUUGUUUAGGGCCCCCACCCACCGUUCAGGGGUGGGGGCCGGUGGGGAGGACAAUAGGUCCUCCCCCCUUUUUUUACUUUAGAGCCCUGACCCGCCGCUCAGGGGUGGGGGCCGAGGGGGAAUAGGUCACCCUUUAGUUUAAAAGCCCCCACUCGCACGUCGCGUGUGGGGGCUCAGGAGGGGGGGACCUUUUUUUUGUUUUUUUUUAACAGGGAGCAACCACAGGCAGCUCACUGUUUAAUAGACAUGCCCCAUAAUUUUUACUUAGUAUUAGUAAAUGUGGCUAAAGGACGAAUUUAGGUCUUUCAGCCUUUUGGUAGAUAGCUCCCUAAUACCGUGGGAAUUAGGGAGUUAUCUACCAAGCGGCUGCAAGAAAAGUCCCAAAAUGCCGGAGUUCUGAAGUUCCAAAGUGCUGAAGUUGCCGAAGUUCCGAAGUGGCGAAGUUCCGAAGUGCUGAAGUGUUCAAGUGCCGAAGUGCCGAAGUUCCAAAGUGUCGAAGAGCCGAAUUGCCGAAGUCCCGAAUUGACGAAGUCACAAAUUUCGGAAUGCCGAACCGAGCCGAAUAUUUUCCCCAUGCACAUGCCUACAAUCCGUUUCUCUUAAUUAAAUUAAUGUGUUACAUCUAAGCAGGUUUGUCCACUAAAGUCCAAAUUACCCCAGGCCAAAUAGUAAAACUAUAUUGUUGUAAUUCAGACUGCAAACUCCAGACAUUGUUGAUUGUAUUUAACAAUAUUCAGAUUUUGGAAUUCUGGCUCUGAAUGAGUCAGAAUUGUGUCUAGAAAUCACCUGGACCACACGUUGCCAGACGACCGAAUCCGUGCUUGUUUUUAGUAAAUGUAUGCAUUGCCAAUCCAGUUGGAAUUCAAUCAUUUUCACUGUACUUUGUCCAUCUGACCAUCUAUAACCCUGUUACAGUUUAGGACUCUGUGAUUUAAAUCAGCAUUUUGGAAAACUUUGAUAUAUGUAAUCUGUGGCUCCAGCAGUUGCUGGGUACAGCUCAUAGCACAUUCAACCAGUCUUUUUUAUGUUACUGAUUUGCCCAGCACAGCACUAGCUGUUGGACAACACUAUUGGGUUAGGUACAUAUAAUCAUCUACACAAGCAAUCUCUCCCUGCUGCUUGUGUGAUUUAUUGUUCCUAAAAGUGUUACUCAGCCUAAUAUGUCCCCCAAGUGGCUUUAUGGUUGAAAAAACACCGGAAGCAUUAAUUUUAUUAUCCCUGGUUGCACUCACUUCAGUUUUAUGAAAUGACAUAUACAUCAUAAUAAACAAAUACAAUGCAUAGAUUUUUGUGAGACUGCAACAAGACAGAUGUGUUUUGUGUUGUUGGCAGGAAUAAAUAAAAAUCUUUAUAUUCUUUAUUUGUGGCAGCAGCAUCAAUCAACAUCCAAACAUAUAUUUGUUGCCAUGCAGCAGGUUCACAAUGCAAUGUCGUUAGCCACAGUGAGAUCUUUGGUCAAGUUAGCACAUAUUCCUGGUUGAUUGUGACUUAAAUGUUGAAGCUCAAGGAGAGAAUUCCAGAAUACAUGACAACAUUUCUUCAAGCUGCUUUCUUACAUUUUUUCUUAUAUUGCUUUUACAAAUCAUAACAUACAAAUCGUUACAUCCCAAGGUAUUACUAUUAUCACAUACUAUAAGGAAAAUACUAGACUUGGGCAUUCAGUUUCGGCCGAAUGUGGUUAAUAAAAAUUAUUCUGCAUUUUUUGUCCAUUCGUUGAAUACUGAAUAAUGAAUGGGGAGCCAAAUGAACAAACACAUUAAUGGCUGCUGAACGAAAUUCUUCCAUGUGAUAUUUGAUGUUUGUUCAUUCACAACUCACAUUCAGACUUUUGUAUUGCACUGUCUGUAAUUCAAAAGGCCGAACGUUUAAUCUGAAUACACAAAUGGCUCAUUCUUUCGGUGAGCCUACGUUCUUUCUGCUCACUCCCAUCAUAUUUGAUAGGAGUGAACCGAACUAACGAAUGUGCACUUAAUGAAUGAGUCAUUCGUUCAUUUGGGAUACUUCUUGAAUUACAGACAGCCCACACCCAUUGCUGGUGGGUGGGUUCCCUAAGUAAUAAUGGGGGGAACCUAUUAUUCCUCCACAACCCCCACCCAUUGCCAGCAGGUUGGGACCCUAAGUAAUAAUGGCGGGAACGUAUCACCCCCCCCUCCCAGCCCCUGAGUAAUAAUGGGGGGCAACCUAUUGUUUUCCCCCAACCCCCACCCAUUAGCAGUGGGAUGGUGUCUUAAUUAAUAAACCUAUUCCCCCAUCCUAGCCCCCACCCAUUGGGGCGUUAAGUAAUAAAAGGGGGAAAGCCUUUUAGUCCCCACCUCUUAGCGGCUGAUGGGAGCUAAUUGCAAAAAAUAACUACCUCCCAUACAGUGACAAGGGGUCCCUAAGCCCCUAGUCACUCCCCAGUAAAUAAAUACCCUACCUAUCCUCGUCACCCUAAUAAUAGUGAGGAGAGGGCAAUAAACUAAAUACCUCAGUAAUAAAACAUAAAUACUUACCAUUAGAUUACUUAUUUUUUUCUUCAAUCUUAUUUUUUCUGCCCCAAGAAAGGCCAAAUAAAAAUACAUAAAUUCCGUCAAGCUAAUAAAAGAGAGGCCCGAAUGAAAAAAAAGAGCCCCUACCUUCCAGAAAUCGGUCGGGUCGGGUAUAUUAUUGCCUUAACUCAUCAAGCAUGGGUGGGGGAUGGAAGGGGACGGUAUGUCCCCCCCCUUUUUAGUUAUUUCAAUUUUUGCCACAUAGUAGGGGCAUGGGGGACCUGUGUCAUGUCCCUCUUUAUUGAAUUUGGGUAAUAGUAUAUAGUUUUAUCUCCUCUGUUCUAUCACACAUCUCAGCCUAUGUGUAAAGUUUGAAGAGAUUAACUUUCUGUACUUUUACCAUAUUACAGUGCUAUGUUUCACGUUAUAAAAGGGGGACAUUUACUCUGAGACCUAGGUUAUCAAUGGUAACCUGCUAGCUGCUGUCACAACUAAAUAAUAAAAUAUAAACAUAUUUUUGGUGGAUGGCUACCAUUCUGUAAUUUACCUGAUGCGCACCUUGGGACUGGAAACUCGUUUCAUGGGGCAAACAAUAAAACUGUAUAAUCAUGUAAAUAUUCACUCUGAUGCGCAGUAUGCCAAAAACAGCAGACACUGAUCCAUCGAUAGUCAUAUUCUAAAUAUUAACAGAAAAUCGUUUGUCUUGUUUUCUUGUGCUGGACAUUCAUUGUAUAACAUCAUUUCUGAAGGCAUUUAUAUAAAAGCUUUAAAAGUAAUAAAACACAUGUUCUGCCACAGCUUUGGUAACACUCGUCGGAGAAGUUCCACAAGACUCUGGAAAUAACACUGAGGCUGCGAAAAGUGAAGGAGUAUCCUAUGCUGGACUGUAUAUCACCUCUUUGGAACUCUUCAAGUUUACCAUUGGCAUGGGAGAUCUGGAGUUCAAUGAGAACCUUAAAUUUAAGCACUUCUUCAUGUUCCUGCUCAUCCUGUAUGUAGUGCUUACCUACAUUCUUCUCCUGAACAUGCUCAUUGCCUUAAUGAGCGAAACUGUCAGUAAGAUAUCUAGCGAGAGCAAAAGCAUAUGGAAGCUCCAGGUGGGUGGCCUAAAAUAGUCCAGAAAACAUGAGUAUUAUACAAAAGAUCAGUUUUACCACAGGCAGAUUUUAUAUAAAUAACUGCAUAAUAAAUACUGUCAUUUUCUUUACAUAUAAUGUCGCAGGUGUGCAUGUUAGAUAAGCAGCUAGUCUGUAGCGCUCAUAGAACAAACCACAGACUGCAGUUACAAAUAGACAGGAAACAGAGCUGAGAAGUGAGAUUAUUGCAUACAAAAGCCACAGUGAACAAGAGUUAUGACUCUUAAACGGAAUAAAGCUUUGUACUAGCGUGUGAAUCAGUCGUCUGAACAGCACAAGUUUUAAAACUUUUAUAAAAUCUAGUCAUUGGGGAAAUCCUUACUGCCUGUUACUUACUUUUAUAAUGCAAAUUCCUUGUAAAUGAAAGGAAUUCUAAGAGUGUUAUCUACUCAGAUCAAAGUGAUCAAAGUGAAUUUCAAAUGAAAAAACAAUAUUCAGCAUACCUAGGAGUACCAUGACCUACUCAUUACACCUAAAAUGUGCGGAUGUGUGGAGUAUCUCUUUAAGAUAAUGUCACAUUCAUGUAUUUUAUUUAAUUGUAGAGGCAAAUGUAGAUGUGGUUUGUGCAAAGAAAUUAUAUGGGAAGUGCAUUGUUCUGUCUGACAAAAUUAACAUUUUCCUGCCAUUUGCAUGGUAUUGUUUCUUUUUUGAAAUACAGAGAAAGAUAAUUACAUGAUUUUGCUAUUUCAUGACGAAAAGUCAUGAUUUUAUGAAAGACACGGAGGCGAGUAUUGCUUAACCCUUUCUCUACUCUCCACCAAUAGCAGCAAAGAAUACAACAGAAAGAAAAAAAUGGUAACCAUAGUGAUAGGCCACACCCAUACCUAGUCCAAGUAUAAUAGUCAGCACAUCCCCACACAUUUCCUCUUUCUUUGGAGAUGCAACACAAUAACCACAAAACAGGAACGAUGAAACAGUCCAAACCAAAUAGAACAGGCAAUCCGAAAUCCAGCCGGACUACCAGGAACCAUAAUGAAACUGGGACCCAACAGUGAGGGGCCCAUCACAGCACUGUCCAUAAACUUCCUGGCCACUUGGUGAAGCCGAGAGAGAAGUGAUGAAGACCCUUGAUAAACAUCGAAUCAACCUGUGAAAACACAAAAGUCAGGAGCCGAACGGUUAAAUCGGUACUUGAACCAAAGUGUGCAUGCCAAGACAUAACUUUAUAACUAGACAGAAGCAACACAGUGUGCAUAAUUCAACAAAGGCAUAUCGGAUAAUCAUGUAACAUGAACAGAUUAAGAAACGUCUGAAACUAUACAAAACCCAGAGAGCAGAAUAAAUACCUACCAACUCGGGAAAACGUGCAGGAGAGAAUAAACAACCGGGUGGGGUAAAUCAUUGAAAUAACAUAGAAGGGUGGGACAAUACUCACCUCCGUGUCUUUCAAAAAAUCAUGACUUUUCGUCAUGAAAUAGAAAAAUCAUGUAAUUUUAUGCCAAGACACGGAGGCUCAUAUUGCAAGUUUAAAGCUGAUCAAUAACCGGAGAAAAAUCGUCAGGCAGAGGUUGAAAGUGGAUUCGCGGCCAGCCUCAUCAGGUCUUCCAGACGUGCACCUGAAUUCACAAUGGACGUGGCCGAUGCCCCUCGGGCUGAGUGGGCACCAAAGACGGACGUAUCCACGUCGGCCAGAGACAUCACCCAUUUCACCCCAAGCCAAUGUAGUACUGGACACAGGGGAAAAAAGCAAGCGAAAGAGCUGGGGAGACGACGUUGCAUGAUGUGUGCUCGUCCGAAGUUCAUAUUCCCGUAAGCAGGCCACCGGACAUAGGGCCGGAGUACUAGAGAAGCUCGGAUAAGAAACCGAUCGAAUAGCGGUCUUGGUGCGUCUGGAGAUGUUAAACGUCACCCCGGCCGGAGUGAAAGACCUAGCAUCAUAGUCCAGGGCAUGAACAUCCGAUACCCAUUUGCAUGAAAUGAGACAGAACAGGGAGACCAACUUGGCUGACAGCUGUCGCAGGGAGAGCUCCGCAUUAGACGGCCAGGAGGAGAACAGCGACAAAAUGCAGGAAACAUCCCAUGUAGUAGAGUAACGAGGUCUAGGGGGGUGUGACAGGCGUGAGCCCCUAAGUAAGCGGCACACUAACGGAUGUUGGUCUGCUGGGCAGCCGUCAAAUCCUUGGUGAGCCGAGGAGAUGGCCGAUCUGUACGAAUUAAUCGUGCAAUAUGCCUGACCCACUUCAAAUAACGAAGUCAGGAAUAGGAGGAUCACAGUCACAGGUGCUAUAACGGGUCCAAGUUCCGAGCCAGGCACCAGCUAGUCCAAGAUCUCCAAGCGGUCCCAUAUGCUCGUCUAGUCCCGGGAGCCCAUGCCUCAGCCAGGAGGCGUCACGUUGCGUCCGAAACCCCUUGGAUUUCCCAGGGACACCCAAAAUCCUCCAUGCGAGCAGCAGUAACGACCCGUCCGCUAGGAGAGGAUGCUGGAGACCCGAUGGGUCCAGGAGGAGGUUCGGUAGAGACGGCAGCAGUCUGGGCACGUCUAUUGCCAGUUCCAGGAGUUGUGGGAACCAGGAUUGGGUCCCCCAGAAUCGGGUUAGUAGGAUCAGGUCGGCCAUUUGGCGCCGAAUUUAGAGCAGGACCCGAGGGAUCGAGGCGAACGGGGGAAGGCGUAGAGGAGUGAGCCAGUCCAGUCUUGUAGGAAGGCUUCCACUGCCUCCGCGGUUGGAUCCGGGCGCCAGCUGUAGAACCGGGGCAAUUGGGUAUUGAGCCUGGACGCAAAGAGGUCGAUAGCAAAAGGACCCAAUGUAAACCAUAUAGUGGAGAAUACUCCCACAUCCAAUUUCCAAUCGCUGUUGUCUGACAGAGAGCGUGAACUCCAGUCCGCGUGAGUGUUGUGGAGCCCAGGAAGGUAUUCUGCCUGGACCACCAGGUUUCUGUCCAAGCAAUAGGUCCAGAAGUCCUUCGCCAAGCGGGCCAGGAUUGCAGAUUGAGUGCCACCCAUAUGGUUGACAUAGCGGACCGCUGAGAUGUUGUCCAUGCGCAGGCGGAUGCAUGAGCUGGCAGUCCCGUUCACAAAACUCCGGAUCGCGAAUGAACCCUCCAGGAGUUCCAGAGCAUUGAUGUGGAGGUGGGAUUUGUCUGUCGACCAGCGACCCUCAGUAUUCACCCCAUUGCAAUGGGCACCCCAGCCGUGGAGACUGGCAUCUGAGUCCACCGUGAACUCUGGUUGGGAGCCGAAGAUGGCCUUGCCAUUCCAAGCCAAGAGGUUGGGGAUCUGCCAGGUCAAUUUGUCCCAAGUCUCCGAGUCCAGGGAGAUCAUAUCCGCAUAGGACGCCCCACAGCGGAGGUGUGCGAUCUUCAGGUGCUGGAGGGCACGGUAGUGGACUGGGGCUGGGAACACCACUUGGAUUGAUGCUGCCAGAAGGCCAAUGAUCCGUGCCAGGUGGCGUAGAGAUAGCUGGGUGCGCGUUAGAGCGCGGCGCAGUUCCUUGCGGAUUGUCCGUAUCUUGGACGUAGGGAGGCUCAGUGACUCCGCUUCGGAAUCUCCCAUGAAGUCUAGGAACUCCAUGCAUUGCGAAGGAGAUAGGCAGGAUUUUUCCCAGUUGAGGAGAAAACCCAGGUGGGAGAGGAGGUCCAUUGUCCAUUGAAAAUGUUUCCGAAGGACUGAACGAUCCUGUGCCAUGAUGAGGAUGUCGUCCAAGUAGACGAUUAGCCGGACUCCCUGACUGCGCAGCCAAGCCAUGGUGGGGCGCAUCAGUUUCGUGAAGCACCAAGGGGCUGACGACAGUCCAAAGGGGAGGCACGUGAAGUGCCAGGUGUCUCCUUUCCAAAGGAAACGUAACAGGUCCCUGGAUAACUCGGCCACUGGGACCGUCAGGUAGGCAUCCUUCAAAUCCAAGUUUGCCAUCCAGUCUCCCCGAAGGAGUAAGUCUCUCCAUGCCCUCCAUUUUGAAGUUUACGAUACAGCACCAGGGUGUUUAGGGCACGGAGGUUGAUAACUGGGCGAUAACUAGGGGAUAACUAGCAAAAUAUUGCUGAUCACCCCUGUGGAGGACACCGGAGCUAGUUCUAUCACCCCUUUUGCGUGGAGGGCCGUUAGUUACGCGUCUAUCAAGGCGUGGUCGGUUGUUGAAAGCAAAAUAGGGUGAGGUGGGGGAACGUGACACGGAGUGUCGACCAGUUCGAUGUGAAACCCCUGAACUGUGGUCAGAACCCAGACAUCUGAGGUGAUGGCUGACCAGGUGUGGAAAAAAUGACGGAGUCUGCCCCUUACACACAUAUUGGAAGAAACAUGAGGUAGAUUUAAGCUUACCGUAAGGGCGUCUGGAACGGGGGUUCCCUCUAAAGCCUCUGGAACGCCAUGGUCUUCCACUAGAGGGGAAGAAGGGAGCAUGUUGUCUCAUCUCCUGGUAGGGUGCUCUCUGAGUGUAGGAGCCUCGUCCCGAUCCACGGGCAUGGUAAUUGGAAUGGCCGGACAGACGACCCCUGAAUCUGCCGGCCCUGGUAGAGACCCGCCACUGAAACACCCUCUUCAUGGAUGAUUGGGCCUUAUCUAGGGCUGCAAAUGCACCCACAAAGCGUCCCAGGUGCUUAAUAAAGGAGUCCCCAAAUAAAAGGCGUCCUUGCCUGCCUCUGUGAGGGCGAGGUUGGCCAGUUUACGCCUUUCAAUGGACAGGGAAGUGUUUACGCUGCCUGCAAUGCAGAUAGCCCUCUGCACCCAGCCACGGAGUUCCUCCGGGUCAACUUGCCGGUUCUCGGCUCUGGCGAUUUCAGCCAGGUCAAACAGUUUGGCCAAAGGGCCAAAUAUGUUGAGAUGUUUAUCUUGCCACGAUUUAAGUGCCGAAUCUAGACCCUUGUGGGGAUUCCAACCCAUUUUGGAGAGGAAUUGGGUCAUCUUUGGGUCCACUACAGGGGUCUCACAGACUUUGUCAGGUACCAAUGGUCUUGGGCAUUCAACCCUAAGUUUAUUACAUGCUGCCUUACUGAGGGGGUGUUGUACCCAGUUUUCAAGGUACUGUGCCACAUGGUCCGCCGGGAGCCAUUCCGCCGACCUCGGAUGAUGGAGAGCAUCCGGGUCAAACAUGGGUUCCCCAGACGGAUCCAUGAGGGUGGAGCCCACAGUAGCGGGGGAGUCGCUCCUAGGGCCACUCGCAACCACCACAGAGUUAGCAGGGCCAAAAGGGUCGGGUUUCUGCCCACAAAAUUCAUCAUCAGAGUCAUCCACAGACUCAGCGUCAGCCUCCUCACUAGACGCGAUUUCUGAGUCGGAGUCACUCUCUUUUUGUGCUCUAGCACAUUUCCACUGCCGUGCCCGUUAGGCCUGGCAUGGAAAGGCUCUCUUGCGUUACAUAGGCACGCUGUCAUGGGUGGCUAUAGUCACACCAGUCGUGUUGGUUCUGGAGGCAGGGAGAUUUGAGUGCCUGGAUUUGGCAGUAGCCUUUUUUGGUGCCUCCCCUAAAGGGUCAGUAGCCGGGUGCGCUAAGCGUGUCGGCGUGGCUGAACCUUCUGCGGCCAAAGGGCAUGCCAGUAAGGCCUGUGAGAUGGUCUGGGAGAGGACAGAGAACAUGGAGCCCAUAGCAGCCAUAAUGGCGUAAGAGACUGAGCGCUGUAGCGCCAGGGACUGGGUCUCAUGAGACAGGGGCAUAGGGUCCCCAACAGAAGAAGGGGAUGCAGAAUUGGAAGAUGGGUUAUCCAAAACCUGGGGCAUGUCCAUCUCCCUAGGGGAUGAGGGGCUGGCAGGCACUUUAGAUCUGGGCAUGGUAGUGCUGUGAGAUAUUCCCCAACAAAAGAAUAUCAACUAUAUAAACAGAAUAAUUGUAUGAGAUAAAGCUAAAAUCAGAGUAGAGGAGACUAGCAGGAGUUAAUCACCCCAAACUAGUAUAACCUAGGAGGGUAUAGUUAGGGAGAAACAGGAAGUCAGGAAAUGGCCGCUGGCAAUCUUGCGAGACUCACGGUCAAAAAUACAGUCAAUUUGUCAAGUUAAAGAGCCGAACGUUCGGCAAAAAGAGACAAAUUCAAUGGGAUAAACAGAUGAAAGUAAUGAAUAGGAAAUAGGCGAAUGCACUGACUGUUCGAAUAAAAAAAUAGCCGAACGCGGCUAAACAAACGAAGGAAGCUAAGUGAUAGAAAAAACGAACGGCAUGUGUUUGUGAAGAAUUUGCCACGAAGACAGCCGAACAGAACGGAAAACAGGCGCAAAAGGGUGCCAAAUAAACAGAGAGAGGAAAAUGGAGCCAAAGGGUAGUGAGGAAGAUAUAAGGAGAUAAGUCAGUAAUCAGAAAAAGCAAGUGAGCAUGGAUAACACACAGAAUAAAAACCAUAAGGAAGGUCUGGAACCCUGGGCUCAAAGGUAACCAACAUAAUAUAUAGUAUUAAACAAGCAUGUAAUAACACACAGAAAAAACAACUGGAUAAAUUAAAGUAAAAGGGAAUUAUCAACAAAAGGAGCAAUAGAAACUCAAAUAACAAUAAAUAAAUGUUAUAAAUAACCAGAAAUCAAUAAGAGAAUAGUAGGAUGUAUGAGAGAAAAUGUCAUGUACUUAUCUUUGGUCGGAGCAGCAAAGAAAGCGGCAAUGUGUGGGGAUGUGCUGACUAUUAUACUGGGACUUGGUAUGGGUGUGACCUAUCAUUAUGGUUACCAUUUUUAUCUUACUGUUUUAUUCUUUGCUGCUAUUGGUGGACAGUAAAGAAGGGGUUAAGCAAUACGAACCUCAGUGUCUUGACAUACAAUUUUGGAUUCUGUAGAAAUGAUGCUGUGUUUUGUAACCAUCUUGUGGUUGUCUAGCAUUUGGCGCUGCUUUUAACAUGAUGAAUGAACAUAUCAAAACCAAAGAAUUCCAAAUACAGCAUUUAAACACUAGCAAAGUAGAAAAUUAAAACAAUGCAAAAUACAUUGAGCGAGUUAAUCAGUUUGUAAUACUGAAUUACAUGGCAAAUAUUUAAGAAGGGAAUGUGUUAAAGAUACAUAGAAUUUUCAGUUGAUUCCUACCAUUAACUGGCUAUGGUAGAAAUAUAAUGUAUGUAUGGUGUAAUUUUUUCUUAUUCAUUUUAUUUUACGUAAAAUGUGAACAGCGAGUAUCUCACUUUUAGAAAUUGGCCUUUCAUGUAGUACAGGAAUGGCCAAAAGGUGGCUCCCUAGCUAUUGGAGAACUACAGCUCACCUUAAGACCAUUUGGGUAGUUGAGGUUCUAUACAUGUUGGGAUUUGGUCAUCCCUGGUAUACAAUACAAAUGCAGUAGGAAGUUUGCUUAUAUUAUGUUACUCUUAUUUUGCAGAGAGCUGCAACCAUCUUAGACAUUGAGAGGUUCUUACCUCGGUUCCUUAGGAAGAAAUGGAAGUCUGGACACUGGCUUACUGUGGGCAAAACCCCAGAAGGAAAGCUUGAUGAGAGAUGGUGCUUUAGGUAAGAGAAAUAUAUUAACACAAGAAUUAUACACCCAGAUGCCACUAUAUUAGAGAGCAGAGAUGUACUGGAUACCGCACUCACCAAAUAACCCAACUGCUCUGAAGCCAGGGCGUGCCAGGCCUCCCUUCCUAGACAUGCAGAAUAAAUAAUGGUUCAGGCACUCUGGGAUAACAGAGAUAGCAGCUUUAUUAGGGCAAAAGCAGCAACAUUUUGACACUACCAGGUCUUUAUCAAGCAUGAUAAAGACCAGGUAGGGUUGAAACAUUGCUGCUUUUGCCCCAGUAAAGCAGCUAUUUCUGUUACCCCAGAGUGCCUGAACCAUUAUUUAUUCUACUAUAUUAGAGAAAACUUUAAACCCGCAAAAAUAUGACCUUACAUUUUUUUUUUUAUAAUUUAUUACAUGUUUUAUUAGUUCUAACUCCAUAUAGGAUAACUUUGGGUUCUGAGAAAGUCCAUGUUGGUGUAUGUGAAAUUAGACAUUAAUUGAUUAUAUUAAAAAUCUAAAUAUGUGUUUUUGGUCUCGUCUUUCUGUGCUGAAAUUGUCUUACUUUUAUCUACCUUAUUCAUAUUUGUAAUUUAUCCAUAUAGCACUAAUAGGUGUACUUAGUGCUUUAAUAUUACCACUAUAAUAGGAGUGAAGUAAGUCAAAUAGUUAUGCAAACUUUUAAAUAUACUAAUAAAAUAUUUAGUUAUAUUUUCUUAGCAUUUAACAUAAUGUUGACUAGUUUUCAUGAAGCAUAUGACCUUCUUCUAUGCAGUGAUAAAGAUUAUUAAUUUUUGAAACUGUAUCCCUAUUAGUACUAUUUAUGUUGUACAGGGUACUUUUUUUUUAAACAACUAUUUAUAAAGUUGUUUUUAUUGCUAUGGAGCUCUGUUAUAAACUCAGUCACACCAACAGUAUGGAGCUCUUAGAAAAGAGGGUCUUUAGGAUAGAAAAUAUGGACAGAGGGAAUUUGGCCCAACAAAGGGACUGUCCCUCCUAAAAAUGUACACGUGGGACACUUGGUAGGUUUGUGAAGGUGCCACUUUUUAUUGAAAUCUGCACUUUAUGUAAAAUGAAAAAAAGAGGACACACCACACAGAAAUUACUUCGGUGAGCUGAAGGGCUUUAGGCAUCUGGAGUGUCCCUUUGACUAAAAAAGCAACUUGAGGCAAAUUUAAAACUGACUUGAAAAAACUUGACUAAAAAAGCCAAGCUUGUAAAAUGAGCUGUUAUGGUGAACUUCUUCAUUUCCAGCUACCAUAUGGCCUACUUUUUUGCAAUUCAGUUUUCAAUUCACCACAAGUCAGUGAACACAUCCUUCAAUAUUUUCGCACGUGAUAGAAUUAGCUGUUUGCGAAGUAACAUUCUGUGUUUUGUAGCACUCUUUAUUUUAUUUGACUCCAUGUGAGUCAAAUAGCCUUUUGUAUCAAGUAAACAUGAAUUUUAAACAUGCUAAAUGGAUGUCUCGUUUUGUUCCCCUUUAGAGUAGAAGAAAUGCUUUGGGGUGCGUGGGAAAAGAACCCAUCCAAUCUUAAUGAGGAGCCUGGUGACACGGAAAAAGCAAAAAUGGCCUCAGUUUACAAACGUCCUAAAGGUACAUUCAGCCUAAAAUGAAUGGUCUUAAAAAAAAUGUUGAUUUCCACCGAAUGGGUAUAAGCUAGCCACUAUCGAGGUAGCAUCUGACACUACAGAGAAAGUAAAAAGAUGCUGUUGUGCAGGAGAGUGCGCGAUAUAUUACAUUUCUAUAAUUUAGCAAAGAUUGGACAAGAUACUUUUUAAAGAUGUAAAGAGGAGGGUCAAUAACUUAUAUGAAGUCUGAAAAUAGUCUUCUGUACUAUGGUAAAAAAAAAUAAUUAAAGGCUUUAAAGGAAGUUCGAAUGCAUGACAAAAAGUGAGGGGGUCUGGAAAAUUCAAGAAAAUGUUUUAUAUGGUAAUUUAUUUCAAAAAGACUGGCUAUGAUUGAUUAAAAAUUUGUCUGUUGAUGAGAAUGUGUCUUUAGAAAUGAAAUAAAAAAAAAAAAACUCCUACAGUGGAACCAGCCUGGAUGUAUUAAGCAUCAAACUUAAAUCCAACUAAAGAGUAGAGAGAAGAGAAAACUGUUUGUAAAUAGCUGUGUCAAUGGAGUAGGGUGUAGAGAGAAGGACUCCCGAGAUCUACUUUUCAAAGAUAUGCAGAGUGUUAGCAACAAGGUCAUAGUGAGUGUAGGUUUAUAGAUUAUCUGAUGGGAAGCCAGAAAAAUGGAGACUAGGAAGUGACGUAACUAUCAUCCAAGUAGAGGAAUGGUUUGACUUAUCUGGUCUGUGAAAUAUAAUAUAUAUGUAUAUGUUGUCAUGGCAAUACAUAUAAAUAAAUAUGGCUGCAUUUUCCCUGGAUUGUGGAUUUAAAACUUCUUUAUCAGAUCAGUCUGCAAAGCUGUAUUUUUUUCGCAGCAGUGGUGAAAGUGGUCUAUAUGUGCUCAAUCUUUGUUGGAAUGCAGAAUCAGUUUCACCUUUGUAAAGAAAAAUAUUAAUCAGGAAACUUGGAAUGUGUCCACAAGUCUCCACUGUUGCUCCCCUUUUCACUGCACUGUUCCUUUUUCUUUACAGGGUGGAGUCAUUUGGUUACCAAAGUGCAAGAAAAAGUAAGAGAAGAGGAACAAAUACCCUUAAAUUCGGGGUCCACCAGCCCUGCGACUGAUGUCGAGAAGGGAUAUGAACAGUCGUCAUGAGCUCACAGUUUAGUUUUGAAUUGUCUCAAUUGCCAAAACACUGCAAUUUCAGCUUUCCAAAAUCAAUUGAUGGUUUCUUAUUCUGACCCAACCAUAGCUAUGUUUACAUGUAAUGAGGAAAUAUUACCUUAUUGUAAUGCGAGGUAUAUGUUAACUAGUUCAUUUUUCCAGGUUUAUAUGAUUACACUACAACGGUGAUGCAAAAUAAAUUAAAAUGCACUAAAGAAUUAUAACAUACAAAUCUUAUAAAAUUCAUUGAUGUGCUCUAAGUAAAAUAAAACCCCAAAAACCCCUCACUGAUGGUUGUGAGAAUUGACAAAUUGAAUUCUCCUGAGAAAAAAAACCAUAAACACAGACAUUCAGGCAUCCAAAUUUGCAUAUUUUUUUAUGUUUCUUCAAACAUUGGUAGUUUUUUUUUUUAAUCUAAAAGGUUGCCAAAGUGUUAUAGUUGAAUAAAAACAAUAGAAAUAAAGCUUUAUUUUGUAAGUCUGUCUCAGCCCAAGAUAAAAUAAUUACACAUAAUCUCUUAUUUUGUUUAAAAAUCAAGUCAUUAGGAAAAUUAGUUUGCUUUGCAUGAACAUUUUAGGGCACUGGAGGCUAAAAUGCUGGUGUAGCUUUAAACUAUGAACUUUGCUUAGACAGUCUAUAUACUUGCAGAGUCUCUGAGAAAAUAUUUGCAGUUGCAAGAUAAGCCAUCACACAUCUAUGGUGAGCUGGUGUGAAUUAAUAUUGGUGACUGUAAAACGCGUAUUUACGUUGUUUUCGUUUUUGUAAUUAGUAUGUCUUCUUAAAGAAAUGCUGUCAUCAUUUUUUUUUUUUUUAAAUAUCUUAAUGUAAGCUUUAUUUUAUAAUAUGCUAUCUCUUAUUAUUUCUUUUUAAUUCAUGCUUACUGAAAUUUGUGAAGAAAUUAUUUGCUUACCUUGCCCAUUCCCCCUUUCUGGAAGCCAUCAUUAUUCACCUUUGGUCACAAUGUCACUUAUCUUACCUAAUGCUUAUUAUUUUGCAAUUGUCCAUUGCUUCCCAGCUGACAAAAAAAGGCUAUUGGAAAUGAUGAAAAGUGGCAAGGGAUUUCUUGAAACAUUUCAAUAUAAAUGAAUAAUAAAAAAUAAAAAAAAACAAGAACUUAAGUAUAUUAUAAUGUAAGAAUGAUAUUAAGAUGUUAAAAAUGUGUUCCUUUAAUGCAAGCUCUCUCAGCAUCAACUCAAAUAUAUACACCUGCCCUGCUGGUUACUGUUUUACUAACCACAUUGCUGUGAGUGUGACUUUCAGUAGCUUUAGGAUGGCACUGUCAAACAAAAUAUAUGCCUAAUAAAAGGCAUUCUAAACAGUCAUAAUCACAGGUGGUAAGAUCCACUGGGACACAUUCUGCUAAAUAUGAUUAUGCAUGUUUUACCAGGAAACUGAAGGUAUUAGAUUUUAGAAUGUAUAUGUAAAUAGAUUAUAUUGCACUCUUUAUUUUUCAAGAAUGUAUACUGACAGAUCAGGACUAUUUUUUCAGAUUACUAGUGGGUCCGCAUGUGGAUGAAAUUUAUUGUCUGAGACUGCCAGCUGACUUUCUCAGCCAAUGAACUCCAUCAGACAUAGACAGAAUUGAUGUAACUUAUAUAGAAGGGAGGACUGGAGUAGAGGUGCCUUUAGGACCCAGGUAAAGAAUGGUUUAACUUUUACCUGGGGGAGGACACCAAGGUGUUUUUCGUUUUUUUUUAAACUGCUGCAGUGUGCUGUAGUCUUUAUGAUCCCUAGAUUUCUGUUGAAAUCUGCACUUUUUGUAAAAGGAAAAAAAAGAGUUUACACUCUUAAAACAUAAGCUGAGGCGAUUCUGAUCUUUGAGGUUUAUAAUGGAUUGUAUGUGAAGAGUAACAACUGUGAUGGUAAAAUCAUUCUUUAGGAAGUGGACACGGAUACAGUCCCACCGUAGUGUCGCCAAUUGGGCGUAUGCAUGAUCUGACAAAUGAGUGAUCAAGGAGUGCGGUUGAGUGCAAUUAGCAACUAGUUAAAGGGACACAAUAGGAUCCAGAUUACUUUAUCUCACUGAAGUGGUUUUGGUGCAGUGUCCCCGUUCCCUUAACCCUGCCAUGUAAAGCAUUGCAGUUUUAGACAAACUUUUUACAUUGCAGUGUUAAGAAGGCCUUGAGUGGCUGUCUACCAAUUGUCUUUUGCCAAUAACGACCUCAUCUCAAGAUAAACAAAUGAAUGCAAUCACAACUACAUUUUUUGUAAUCAUUCUACAUAUUAUAUAUGCCAUGAUAUAUUGCUAAUAUAGAUGUAUACAAUGCAAAUCACAAAUGACUAUAGUCUAAAUUUCAUAAUCAUAAACACCUGACUAAGUCCAACGCUAAGUAAAUGUUGCUUGGGGUUUUACAUGUAUUGUUAUCAUUAAGCAGCCCAUGGGAAUAGAGUUGGUCCCAUGGGUUAAGAAUUCCUUCUUAUACACUAUUGAUAUUUUUCAUCAUCUAGCUAUAUCAACUGCUAAGUAGGGCUGUGAUGCAAACUGUAAUGUUUUGCCUCUGCUUUAUUCCUGCUGUGCAUGAUAUAUUCCACAUAUUUCAUUUAUUUAAGCUAUGUAUUUUCUAAAUGUUGUAGAGAUAAUUGGAUUUGCAUACUGUACAAUGCCUUAACCCAUACUUAGUAAAUGUAGACAGUAACCUAUGCAUCUGCCAUCUGCUGGGGAAGGAAUUAGAUAUUGCUUUUCAUAUGUGUCUUUUUACGAGAUUUUUUUUAUUUCUAGAUAUAUUAUAUCUAUGUUUAUUCAUCUUUAUCAUAAUAAAAGUUAUUUGCGUAAAAUG